rnacentral:lncRNA from 1 species
AUGGGGACACCAGGGGAUGGGGACGCUGUGACAUGGGGACACUGUGACAUGGGGACACCAGGGGAUGGGGACAGUGUGACAUGGGGACAGUGUGACAUGGGGACAUGGGGACACUAUGACAUGGGGACACCAGGGGUUGGGGACACUAUGACAUGGGGACACUGUGACAUGGGGACACUGCAGCCACUGUCACCGUCACAGCACGGGGCGCCCUGUCCCCAAUGUGUCCCCAAGGCUCCCUGUCACCUGGGGGUCCUUCGUCACCCAGGUGUCCCCUGUCACCCAGGUGUCCCCAUCACUCAGGUGUCCUUUGUCACCCAAGUGUCCUUUGUCACCAGGAUCUCCACGUCACCCAAGUGUCCUUUGUCACCCAGGUGUCCCCUGUCACCCAGGGUGUCCUU